AACUUUCAUCCAUGUUAAUCACUCUCUUUAACAGCCAUGAAAUUACAAACCAAAUCCUCAUCAUUUUGUUGGAAGGUACCCUAAGACACAAACAAACACACAAAAACAACUCUUUUUGGGUUUUGCAAAGCAAUUUUUCAAAUUUUUAUGUGAUUUUCGGAGUUAUAAGUCAGCACACACUAAAACUCACCAAAACAGCCUAAAAACACCUAAAAACAGCAAGAAACAACAUUGGGAAGUAUGAGUGAGAAAACCCUACGAAUUUGCAUCAAAACACUUUGGUUACCCCCCCCCCCCACACUUAAACCAAACAUUGUCCUCAAUGUUUCAAAGCAUAACUAACACAAAAACACAUAAACAAACAAACAAACACUAACAAACUAAAUAUGGCAGAAACUAAUUAAACAACAAAGAUAAGGGUUUAGGAACGCAAAUCUGGAAUUGGAGUGCUCUCUAGGCCUUCCUUUGUCGAAUGCAUGGGUUGCCUCCCACGAAGCGCUUUCUUUAACGUCUUCCAGCCGGACGGUACCUCCGUUUAAGCUUGACUAGGUGCCACGGCAUGGAGGGGUACAUCCUCCAUGACAUGCUUUGUAUGCUCCACUCCAAUACCCUUUUCGAUGAUGCAUCUAGGGACAUCCUUCUUGAUUGGUGCGCAUGAAUGUUCCUUCCCCACAUGUUUAAUCACAUCUAUUGCAAAACAAGAAUGAACAUCAUGAGGAUUCUUAACAUAUUCAGGAACUUUGAAUUUAAUCAAUUCAUCACCAAACUCCAUCGUUAACUCUCCCUUAGCCACAUCAAUCUUGGUUUGGGCUGUCUUCAUGAAGGGCCGCCCUAAUAGUAUCGGC
rnacentral:lncRNA from 1 species